rnacentral:rRNA from 1 species
AUUGAACGCUGGCGGCAUGCCUUACACAUGCAAGUCGAACGGUAACGCGGGGCAACCUGGCGACGAGUGGCGAACGGGUGAGUAAUGCAUCGGAACGUGCCCAGUAGUGGGGGAUAACUGCUCGAAAGAGCAGCUAAUACCGCAUACGACCUGAGGGUGAAAGCGGGGGAUCGCAAGACCUCGCGCUAUUGGAGCGGCCGAUGUCAGAUUAGGUAGUUGGUGGGGUAAAGGCCCACCAAGCCAACGAUCUGUAGCUGGUCUGAGAGGACGACCCGCCACACUGGGACUGAGACACGGCACAGACUCCUACGGGAGGCAGCAGUGGGGAAUUUUGGACAAUGGACGCAAGUCUGAUCCAGCCAUGCCGCGUGCGGGAAGAAGGCCUUCGGGUUGUAAACCGCUUUUGUCAGGGAAGAAACGCUCUGGGUUAAUACCUCGGGGUAAUGACGGUACCUGAAGAAUAAGCACCGGCUAACUACGUGCCAGCCGCCGCCGUAAUAC